CAAUAAAUUAAGUACUACAUAUUUUUUUAUUUAAAUAUAUUUAAAAUUUGUUUAUCUCCCUUGUUAGCGAUUUUCUCACUGAAAAUUCACUGUACUGUUCAUAAAAUCGAAUUACUUCACGCGAACGUUCAUCCAAUACGAAUCGAUAGUUCUCCUUACGGAGUCACGUGUUUUCCGUAUAGCAUAUUUCGACAAGUAUGAGAAUUCAAGGCGUGGAGGGAAAUUCCUCGCUCGAGUGGAGAACGGCCGAGGAAUUGGAAAUCGACGAAUGUAAAAGCGCCGAAGCCGAGUAAAGCGUGGAUUUACCGUUCGCUGGCACCCUCCACAGUAACCGGGGGAGCGUCGCAUUUACAAGCGGGUUGUUGCGAAGCCGGAGGCCGUCCCGAGGCGGCCCAGUUGAGUUUCAAUUAUUUCCCGUGUCACAAUACGUCAGGCGUCGCCUGUGUAUUAAGAAAAUGCCAAGGCGUGCGGGCCAUGAAUCGAAUCGAAUCCACGUUUCUUCGUACCCACACUCGCAGAGUGCCGGCUGUAUGUAUCCUCGCGAUUCUCCGUUACGUAAGUACGUUCCAUGCACCAACUACUACUCGCACGUGUGCUCAUGCGGACACGCGACUUUCGGGUUACGCGCGGCACCAAAUUUAUCUUCCCCGAGGAAAUUAGAAAAGGCGUCUCCCAACCCUGGUGUCGCCGGUUCGCGCGAUUUGCUGUCCGCCUUCUUAACUGCCGACCCCGCGUGACCCCGUAAUUCCCGCGACUUUCCAGAAAACGAUAUAUCAGGAACGCUGGGACACCGGGCGGAGAUACAUCCAGGAAAAGAAAGGGCGGACUUUAAUAUAGUAUAGGCGAGUUAAUAACCGUGGAUCGACGGCGCGAGCGAGGAGAGCAAGUGCGGGAAUAAGCGGCCGUCGCGCCGUACGAGAAGAAGCAAGCCCCUCGUUGAAAUAUAUCGUUUCACGUUGCGAGUUGGACGGUCGAGGAUCUUGCGGCUUGCAAGGGUGUUUUGCGGCCUGUCGAGUGGACUAUUCGAUCCGCCGCUGCUUGGGAAUGGACAGCGUUGCAGUGAAAAUUAUUUUUAUAGGACGAUAUUGAGGGAUAUUGUGGAAUUAUGGUAAGAAGAGAAGAAGGGGUGAACGACAGCUUAGUGAUGAAAUGAAAAGAUAGAUUUCAUCGGGAUCGCGAGAAGCUGUAAAUUUCAUAAACGUCCUUAGGAAUUACGUUUUAUGUCUAUCCUAUCAGAAAUUGGACAGAUGUAAGCUUGAGAUUUAAAGAUCCUUCUCUUUGCCAUCCUAACGCGCAUAGACUUGCUAAAAGGAUCAAGCGGAGAAAUAAUACCAGGGCUACGUGAUAUAUGUGAAAUAAUAUCUGGCACACGAUAAUAAGAAAACGAAAACAAGGCAGAAGCAUGUUAACAUGAUUUAUGCGACUCAAUAACGAAUCGAAUCGAUAAUACGAAUGCACGAAAGGGUUACUUUACGAGGUAAAAGAUUGAGAAAUAUUAUACUCAAAUCUUUGAUUCACAUCACGAAAUGAACGUCAGUAACGAACGAUUUGUAAACCGCUAAUUUGUAAUUGACAAUUCAAGAUUCGGUAAAGAAAUAUCUGAUAGAACGAACCGUAUCUGGAUGAUAAUUAACAGUCGACAAUUAAACAAAUUAAUGGUGACUAAAUGAGGAAGGAAAGGGUAUAGUUACGUCGUCGUGACAUAAUCGUGGCAAUUUUCCAAAUAUGUGACAUAAACGCAUUGCUUUCUGGAUAGAUCCGGGAUGCGCUGUACAAGACUGAGGAUAAAUUCACUCUCACAUGCAAAUAAGAUGUCACGAACGUGGCAUUCAGUUACAAGCAUCCUCGAGGCACACCGACGUGCACGUCGCAGUUGCGGUCGAUGAAAAGACAUCUCCCGCUGUCGUAUGCUUAAAGCCGUAUUGACUUUGACUUUCCGCUGUUUUGUUGCAUACAAUAUUUUACAAGGAUGCUAACGUGAAGUCAUAUCUAUUGUUUCCAUUGGUAAAUUCCGAGAUUUGUAUUAUACAAUAUUGCACGAAACACGUAGAAUAUACGCUCUAUUUAAUAUUACAGACUUUUCAGAUCAAAAUAAAAAAAUUAAUCUUUAUUAAUUUUUUUAAUUAAAUAAUUUUCUAAAUUAAAAAAAAAUCAAGUUAUUGUAUGUAAAAACUAAUUCAAUAUAUGCACAUGUAUGUAACAGUUUGAGUGUAUAUAAUAGAAUUAAAACAUUGAAAGUAGAAUAUCUGUACAAAAUGUGUAACAAAAAUAAAAUUAAUUUAUCUAAUAUCUUUGUAAUACAUAUCUCUUUGAAUCGCCAGCAACUUCAUUUAAUUGACAAAUUCUUAAAUUGCACAAGACUGGCAAAGUGUCAGAUGGUCGGACAAUAUUUUUGUGCGUUUUUAAGUCUGACGAAUUGGAAAGUUGGCGCGUGGUUGAAAAACAGAUUCCUAAAUAAUCAUUGCAUCUAAUGCACAAAAAUAUUGUCCGACCAUCUGACACUUUGCCAGUCUUGCUCAAUUUAAGAAUUUGUCAAUCUAAUAUCCUUGUCUUUAAUCCUAAAAAUGAGUUAUCCUGCCCGCAGCAAUAGAAACGCGCGGAGCGUGCAAAGGAUAUCCGUUUCAAGCCAAGUCUAAUUUCGCCGAGGAAGUGUUACAAAUGUCUUCUACGGAUGCAUCAAGUCUCAGAGAGUCAACUUCCUUUCGACUUCCUGUCACGCUUUGUACCUUCGUUACCGACAAAGCCUGGCUUUCAGGUCGGCACUGACACCGUUGAAGGUGCUACGAGGAUCAAACUGCGUUAUAAAUGGAGAGGCUUAAAGGAUUGUCAAUUUGCCACGCCUCUUUGUAAGAUGCAAUCUCUGUGUAUGUAAGCAAUUCCAAAAAUUAUCUUAUAAAUAGUAGCUCUUUCAAUUUAUUUCGAUAUAUUCUGCACCAAAAAGCGAUCCUUUAAUACGGAGCUACUCUUAAAUCUUUUUACAAUCUGUACAAAAUAAAAGAAUUAAAAAAAUAUUUAUUCGCGAUAUUUUUUAUCAAAUUAACGGAAGCGAUAAAUGUCCAUUAUGAUGAACAUUCUGCGCGCGUACGUUUGAUUUCAUGUAUUUGAUAACGUCCUGAAUGACGAAAUUGCACUCCAUAUCAGUGCAUACAGGUGGAUACGUGUCAAUGCUAUCUACACCGAGCUUUUGUAAUAUACGGUUGCGCGUGAUGCACAUUUGCAUGCAAACGAUGUCUGGACAUGCAUUGAAAAAGAGUGCGACAUUGUAAAUCGCGGUAGGGCGCGAAAUGCAAACGUUAUUGUGCAUUUACUCUGAGGCUGAUAGCCAGCGUCGCGUACCAUUCAUCGCUCUCUUUCAUACAAUGUUAAAUGUUAUUGAUUUCUUUGUCAAUACGACUCGAUGCGUCGUUAAUCACAUUAAAAUUCUCGUUACGCCAUAUUUAUCGCCCUCCAGUACUUUUUGAUCAAUCCGAGUUUAAUUUCUUUAUUCUAAUGAGGAUUUGAUUGAACAAUUUGUCGUAAUUUUCUUCGAUUCUUCAAAUUAAAGACAAACAAAACAAGAUUUUUAUAGACAUUUCAUCAGCAACGUUUUCUCAGUUUAUCCCGCGUAUAAAUACUCAAGUUCUAUUUCUUCCUUCAACGACCACUUGAUUCCUCUUCACCAACCGCUUCACCAUGUUCUCAUUAAAAAAUCAGUUAGUUAAUUAAAAGAGAAUUAAGCGAGAUGAUGAGAGGACCGGAGAACCAGCAAUUAUUAUUAUACUAGGGCAACCAACGUAAAAUUUUAAAUCCUUCGUCGUCUGCGCCUUGUUUUGAGAAGACAAAAAAUAUAUGAGCGACUCAAGAGCGGCUCAUAGCGUUGUAAGAGAGAUGUAACAAUCUCAUCGCGACAAUUUUAUUUUAUACACCGAUUGGAAAAACGAAAUAUCUCAUAUCCUCUUACGGAACUUUCAUCGAUCGAUUUGCGCCUCUCAUUUCUAUCUAACGCGCAUACGUAUCGCUGAGCCAUCAUCGCUCAGACCUCAUGAGAAAGACGUCAAAGCGCAUAAUUAAUCUACUAAUUCAUGAAUAUUUUCGCUUGGGCCAGCCAAUCGCCGAUGUUCAUUUUUGAGAGAGCGAACGAGCCCCGAUGAUCGGGUCAUAUUUCAUCGUCUCGCUUCGUCCUCUCCUGCGAAACUAAUUUCGCCCCGUUACUCGAAAACCCGGGACGGACAUUAAAGCCAACAAAAAAUCACCGAGUAUGCAAAUCCCUUUAAUUAUCUAUGCAGUUCCGAUCCUUUCGGACUUAAAUUAAUUUUACAACGCGUGAGAUAUUCCGCCCGGAUAAAAUGUAAAUUACAAUUAAACAUUUCCGGGAACGUAAUUAGGUCCGCGGGAAUGUAGCGUUGUUUAGAUACGCGACAGAUUAUGCGACGUGCGCCGAGAGUUGCAUUUGAGAUUUAAAGAACGGCCAGAAAAAUGAGAUUUGCCGAUUAGAUAGAAGACAUAGCGACGAGUAAAGCGAUCGCUAUCAAAUGUCAAUAUCGGGGGUUUCUUUAUGUCGUGAUCGGGGGUGCAACGUCAGAUAAAGAUAGGUACGUGUAAGUGAAACGUCUCCCGGAAGUUCGAUAACAGAUACGUACGGCACGACGUCGUGGAUGCUCUAUAAUUCUCUAUCAGUUUCUCUGCCACUGUGCUCGUCGCUCUCCUGUCUUAGUUGGCUGUUUCUGAGCACCCAUUCAUCAUCGAGUGCUACUCGACUUGCGCGUUUAAAACUAGUCGCUGAGGUUUAUUCAAUACGAUCCUCCAGGUUAAAUCGAUGUACCCUGAAAUUGACAUCGAAUAGAUUUGCUUAAGUUCCGUCGAAAGCGUCUUGACGAAAUAUCUCGAAUUUCGCCUCCGCGCGGUACUGUCGCGGUAAAAGGAAACUCGAAACUUCCGUAGCUUGAACUUCUCAUGUUUGAGAUUAACAAGUAGAUAUUCUUUGAGAAGCGAGCGUGCAAUCGAUUAUCGGUGGAACACCAGAGAUAGCGAAGAGAGCUUCAAACGUUAAGCCCAUCUCGAAUUGCAGAAAUGCCGGGAGGCAGCACAAAGAUGCCCGUGAUUACAGGCGCGGAGACGACUUGAGUAAAUUCACAGCCACGCAUUAUCGUUAAUUGAGCAUCCAGCUAUGGAAAGCGUAUUUAUCGCGUCUUGUAAUGCGGCCGGAUCGAUAAAGCGUAAGGGAAGUGAUGGGGGAGGCCGUUAAUUCUCGUUAAGCGUAAUGACGGUGCCUGCUCGCGAGAAACGGGAGAGAAGUACGAGAAAUGGCAGACAUUCGGAAGCAAUUCGGAGGCGAGGCGAGGGAUUCGCGUUUCUCGGGAAUGCUGAGGCUCUUCGCAACUUUCGUCCCGAUGCGCCACCCCCGCGAACUCGCGAAAAACUAGUUGCCAAGUUUCGCAGUCUCUCUUUCUCUCUCUCUCUCUCUCUCUCUCUCUCUCUCUCUCUCUCUCUCGCGUGUAUUCACGUGCGCGCUCGUGCGCGUCUUCGGUCGAAGGGCUUGUUGGCGCGUGCAACUUCCGAAUUCUUUUACGUGGAUGUUUAGAAUUUAUCGAUGACGCGAUAAAGUACUGCUGCAAGAAGUUUAACUCUCGCCGAGUCUACCGAGGCGACCGAAUGCUCCACCGAGUGGAACCACGCGAAGACUCAUAUUUUAUGAGGCAGAUUUGGGGAGUUGAAUUUGGGACGGGGGAAUUUAAACGGUUGCGUAUACGCAUCCAGAUUUCAUGCCGUUGAUCUGAGUUUCUCACGCUGCGUGAGAAACGCGUCUUUAAUGUUCGGUUGAGAAGAUUUCCACUGAGGUUGCAUGUUAGCAUUAAAGUAGACAAAUAAAAGUAGAUGAUAGAAUCUUUUCACCUUUGUUUCUGAAAUCAUUUUACUAGUCGAACGUGAUAUAAAUAUACGCGAUUUACUUAUAUAUGAAAUACGAAGGUUUAAAUACGUUCAUGUUUCACAAACAGUUUUCUUUCCUUUUUCCAUCCAUUUUCGAUUUUUGCUGAUGUCACAGUGUAUCGAUGGUAAUAAAAUUUCUCUAUUUAUCGAUUCACGUCGUCCGUGAUCGAAUCGGGAGAAUGCCUUCCUGUUACGCUCGCAAACGUGACAGCUGAUUUUCUCGUCACAUCACUCGCGUUGAUAGAAGCUCGAGCUGAUUUUCGAAGCACCACGUCACAGAGAAUUCUUCCGUCGUCCGAGAUACGUUGAAGAAUUCGUAGCGACGACGAUAAUUCAAUGGAGCUCGUGUCGUAAAUUUCCGUCAUGGGAUAGGGUCAGGAGCAGAUUCUUCUUUGUACUAACGGGUUCCUCCACGUGUUCCAAUCUACGUCAGGUCGACAUGACGGAUUUAAAGCUCGGCGAAGUGACGGCGUUCGUUAAUUACAACUGUUUGCUGUUUUACUACAUUACAGAGAUUUAUUAUUUGCACCGAUUAUAUAUUGUACGUUAUCGAUGUGAGAUGAACAGAAUUCGGCGUUUGAUAUAGCGCGAUAGAUCUCUAACGGUACACACUUCAUGCCUCGAUAAUAAAUGUAAUAGAAUCUCGCAAUUGCACAGCUUCGGUUGCAGUCUCGACGGAUUUAUUAGAAUAUCCUAUCGUGUCCACCAAGCCGAUUACCGCCGUCCAAUCCUCCGUUCGCGCAAUCUCGUUCUGGUCGAUUAGCGGUUCGGACAAUGUGAGUGAUUGCAGCGCACGCACAGUAGACAUAUACAUACAUACACGUGAAUUGCGCACCUUCUGGCGACUCUUGCACAAGUCGAGACCAAGUGUCGACAACUUCGAAUCUGAUCGAAAGUUACGAAUUCACGUUCUUAACUACUUCGAAAGCAGUUAGCAGCUCACAUCUCCAAUCUGUUCGUCGGUUUCUUAUUCAUUUGCUCGCCGGCUCUCAAGUAGGCGAGUUUCAAAAGUGCACCUUGCCGUUUCAUCCAGUGACAGGGCAGCCUCGCCAUGUAUGAUAUUUCGUAUUCCUCCUGCUCUUACUUAAUUAAGUAUUCCUCUAAUUAAUAGCAUGACUGUUAAAUAUAUUGUGCCGUUUAAUUAUUUUUUAAUUAACGACAGUCGUCUACAUAGUUUGCGGUACGUGUGGUACCAUUCCGCGAUGAAUCAGCGGUUAUUAAAAGUCGGCUAGUUUCGUUCUUCAAAAUUAAUCAGCCCAUUAAAUGGAUUAAAUCUGAAAUUAUUAAAACAAGAUUCAUAUUUUUAUCACAUAUAUGUAGAUGAUAUUUUUGAUUCAAAUCUGACUCUAGCGGAAAUUCUGAUCUUAAUAAUUUUAAUGUCUCGUCGGCUUAUAAUCAAAUGCACACAUUUGGAUUUAUCUAUUAUGCUUUAUAAAUCUCUUAUAUAAAAUUUCAUCACAAUCUUUUCACGGAUUUUGUUGGUUUAUCAUUAUUGAAUAUUUGAUCUGCAGUUUUCUCACUAAACAUGCCAGAAUCAUCGAGGCGUCUUCGUUUCGUUUGUACACUCUCGCGAAAAGCGGAUUUGUUGCUGGAAAACAUCGUGGAAAUCGUGGAAAAAUCGUGGAACAAUCGACCGUGCUUAUCCGUCCAAUAUUGGGCAUCGGAGUAAUCCCGGACUUCCGCAUUACGGUAUCUCGGCAUCCCGGAGUAUCGCACUCUCACCAUUGCUCCCGAUCUCACGAGGUGCCGACAAGGCCGGCGUGACGUGAGGUAUCACCUUGCGAAUGACGGGGUCCGUACACCGGCGUAAUGGCGUCGGACUGUGAAUGUAUGCACUCUCGUAUGUAGGAUCAAUUCAACGACACACAGUCGGCUACACCUGGGAUCUACCAACCGAUUGCCUCCGCGCAUCACGCCAUAUACAGAGUGUCCGAACAGAAGAGGACGUUCAAUCUCUUGCAAGAUUAUAAAUAUUGCUCUUCGUCGAUUCGAAGAUCUCUCUGUCUACUACUGUUCAAGUAUACUAAAUUUUGUAUAGUUUUGAGAAUCAGUUCGGUACCGAAGAUCUGCAUCGAAAGGUGCAUAAGAUUUUCAACUGUUUACAAAACGUAUACAAUUACACACACGUGUGUCUUCUUAAAAUCUGCAGUAAAUUGUUCGAUUGGUCCCACCUUUUUCCAAGUAAGUGAAAUAAUCUUUGAAUCUCAUAUGCGGCACACAUGCUCAUAGGGGACUUUUUAACGUCGCUCUCAGCGAAGGAUUGGUCUCUUCCCCCGGGACACUCUGUACGUACAUACCAGCGUGUAGCUCACCGACUCCUUGCAGUUCCAGCGCCCCGGAUGCAACGAGCUGGCUCUCCUGGUCCAGCAGCUGGCUUAUGCACGUGGGUGUGCGGCUUGCCGGUCGGCAGAUACCGGUAUGCUGUCCCAAUUCCGAGUUUCGAGCAAUCGGCGACCGGUUCUCUGUGGCGCGGGUGUUAUACAGGGACGUUCGACGUCCGUCUAUCGAUCACGAUCGCGCGAGCGGAUCCGGGGAGGAGCAGAGGUGAAGCUUGGCUUGCGGAUGUUCGUUUGAAAGCUGCAACUGGGAGAUAUCGUAACGCGUCGAGACGCCGGAUUGGAAGCCAAUCAAGGCGAACCUCAAAGGAGCUUGAUAUUCGGCGAAUUGAGCAACGCUGGCCACAUUUGGAUUGCUGGCGGAUUACUAAGCUGCAUUUAGCGUGUAUCUCCUUCGCGGAUCUUGUCAUCGAUUUCACGUUGAGUUCACCGACGUUUGAGUUACGAGCUGCUGUGAAUUCGACGAUAUUUCUAAAUUUCUAAAUUUUCUCUACCACUUGCAGCGGUUUUUACACUUUGACAAUUAUUAGGAAAAUAAGCUUGUUUGACUUUUGUGGAAUUCUUGUUCGUUUUGAUAUAUUCAUGAAGUGCAGUUUCGCUGUUUCAUUGCAGUAGGUCCAUCGAAUAUUUCGCCAACAACAAUUACUUUAAUUAAGUUUAACAAUCCCGCACACAUUGGGAAAGUCAUUUACUCAUAUUUGAAUAGAGAGAAGGUGUGCGACGCGCGAUGUCUAAUAGAACGGGAGACCGCAAAACUCAUUAGCAAAUGUGUUUGAUUACGCACGAGACAUCUCGCACUGUGCUAUUGUUAUUGCACAAUGGCAGUAACUUUAAACAUUUCACAUGCAAACUCUUGUGCUGUAUUUUAAAUUAAAUAUUGACAUGCACGCAACUUUAGUGCAAGAGAUAUUUAAUAAUAUCAUGAAACAGCGAAACGUAACGGGAAAAAUGAUGAAUGAGACUUGUUUUGUUAAAAUCCGCAAAUUGGAGUCGUCUCAAAGUCGAUUUCAAUCUUGCGGCUGUCGGAUAUUCAAAGGAUUAAGUCGACAUUUGGGCGACAGGAAUUAAAUCCGUGCGAACUUUCGGCGCGGCGCGCGAAAGUCAAUGCGAGUACAAUUUUCGCUCCGUGACGUCUUCUCUCGUUCGUACUUUCGACGAGAGUACGAGUCUUGCGGGAAUUAGCGCCAGCGAUUCAAUUUCGCCGGAAUUAAUCGUCUUACACCACCACGUGCGUGAUCCUUGGAUAGUGCAGAAAGCGUACGUAUGUACGUAUCUACGUAUGUGCAGGUCUCCCUCUUAAAGCUGACCUGCGCCGACAACAAGCGUCCGUCGCUGGGCGUGAUGUCAGUUUAAAUAAGUAAUUGCCCGUUUAACAUUGACUAAUACUUGGACGCGCCUUGCCGCAACGCGGGCACUUAAUCGUUAUCGGAAAUUAAUUAAUCGCGUCCGCUCUAGUGCGACAGGUGCGUUGCGUAUAAAGCGACUUGAUCGUCCCAGGGCGCCGAUCCGGGAUUACGUAUGCAUUACGUGUAUAAGUCAGAUAAUCUCCACUAGCGGGCGAUAUCAGUCUUCAUGGAGUCUUUCCACGAGAGGAGCUCAGCUGGACGUGAAUGUCUGAAACAUGAAUAUAAAAUAUUAGAUGCAAAUGAAUUCGGUGCCUCUUUGUCCGUUUCUAAAAAUAUAUAAUUGCUUUUAAUUUAAAUAACUUUAAUACCUCGAUUUUGUGAAACACUGUUACUGACGUUUACAAAGCGAAGUUAAUAUAACGGAAUGAUCACCUUUCCUAUAAAAUUAUGUUUCCUAUAAAAACAUUUAAUUAUAAUUUCCAUUUACAAAAUUCCGGAUUAAUUUGCACAUUUAAUACAAUUAAUUCAGAAUAUGUUUUAAAUUGCAAAAUAUAUAUGUUAAAAUGUGAUUCUUUAUCUGUAUUUUUUCCAUAUUUAAAAUUUUAUUUUCCGUAAAAGUUUUAUGACAUUUCCGAGUAAAACGUUCCGAAAAAUAUAUUCAAGCAAAAACCAUAUUUCACGGUUGAACAAGUGGAUUUUCUUCAAAAAUACGUUUGCUGCGCGAUCUAAAAUACGACGCGAUCGAAUCUCCGGUAACAUCGCCGCGCGACUUUGCAUAAUAUGCAGGAUGCAUAAUUUCCGUUAUGAAUUGGUCGGAAAUUGAUCUUUAGAGAAGCGCCAAGUCAAUCGGUGCGGUGCUUGCGGUGAAUCCAGGGUGUCAUUUCGCGUCUAGACCGAUCGACAAUCUCGACCAGUGCAGAAUGCUAAUACCUCACGAAAUCGUCUUGCUCCCUGCCAUUAUUGCUCUAAUGACGGACAUUCUCGCGCACGAGUGGUCGAAUCGUCCAACGGUUACCGUAUGGCGAGCUGUCCGUCGUCACGCAGCCAACGUUAGCGUUUUCUUCUACCUUUUGGCGUUUCAUUGAAUUACCAAAUAUUUCAAACUGAUUUCAGGCCAUUACAAACGAGAUAUGAAUUCCCAGCGAAAGUGCGGGAGAAUAAUCUCAGUGUCCCAAUUGUUUUUAAUUAUCACCCUGUUUGUCCUUUUCUCUCGACUUUUUUUCAUACCCUAAAAGAAAGUGAAACAUUAACUAUUAACGUUAAUGCAUUGCAAAAAAAUGGUUUUUACACUGUCAUAAAAACAACUUUUUCAACUGCAGAUAUCUUUUAUUACGGUCUCUACCAUAUUUUUACAACUUCCCAAACAAGUCGCGUUAUACGAUAACGCGAUAACUGUGACAAGUUAAAAUUAGAUCAGCGGUUCUGCGGCUCUCUCGUAGCGUAUCUAGUCAUUAAUUACUCACGUCGAUGUUUCGCGUACCGAAGUUGUUUAUCGCGAAGGAAAAAUCGUGCUGGCGGCCAUCGCGGACGAUGGAUACGGCUCGCAAAAUUUAUGAACGCUUUAUGCCAUCAUAAAACUGAGGGGAUGAAAUUGUAAAUUGAAGAAAAAAGCGUUAUGGUUGCUGGCACGCCAACGGCGGUACCUAUGUGUGAUUCCCAAGCGUUGCGGGGAUCAUUUUUCGCAGAAUGUGUGCGGCGGCUCCACGCUGUGAAUAAUCUCGUAAAACUUUCACGGAAAAAAUUGUCUCCGUCGAAAAACGGCCCAUUAUCCACUUCGCAGCGAUAUCAGGCUCGACCUCAUUCCGCAAUAUCACUACAAUUUUUAAAGAAUGGAGUGUUUCAACAUUUUCACGCUUCAGGAUCUGGAUAGUGCAAAUCGGAUCCUGACUUUGCUUAAAGAAUCAAGUAUGCUUUAAAAAGAACACUUCACGAAGCUUGCUGUUAAUCUUGCAAUUCUUUGGAGUGCAUCUAUAAGGUGCGUCACUCAUUCAGAAAUCUUAUUCACCUCCAGUGGAAAAUCAUCGUGGAAAAUCCUCUGUUGGUUCCGCAUUCCAAAUCUAGACGACGCGAUGUGCGCCUUGCGAACGGCGACGUAGCUAUUACUUCCGGCAAUCCCGUUCGAUUAAUUCAAUCUCGAUCUGGAAUUAAAGGAACUCGGCGACGGGAUGUAAAAAUACGCCUGUGCUGAGUGGGAAAUGAGGGAAAUCUUCUCAACCUAUGCAAACUUACUUAAGGAUAAGUUUAAUCUCAUCAUCCCAGUAAAGUGUCUUUAUUAAAAGGCGUAGUAAGAAACUUUUACAUUUUAUGAAUAAACAUACAAUUUCGCACUAUCUACGAAAUAGAUUGGCGCAAUAUUUUCGCGGAAGCGUCAAUGAACCAAUAUUUAUAACUGUAUAUAACGUUUUAUCACACGUAAUAUUUGUUUAAUAUUUUUUCGUGGCACAUAUCAUUAUUCUAGAGUGACAAUAAAAUAUCACAUUGAAAGCAACAAUGAUUUUGACUAUCCAAA